rnacentral:lncRNA from 1 species
CACAAUAACCCCAGAGAGCAAAAUUAAGAACAAAAUACUGUCCUUAGCACACCGCACAAUGGAAUCUCUCAGAGGCUAUAUCCAAGCAAAAUGGAUGUGGCGGAGAAGUUUAUUCAAGACAAUCCAUAGUAAGGCUUAACACACCAAUAUACACAUGAAGAAGAACUUCUUCGCAUCACGGAACAGAUGCAACCAGACGUAGAAAACCUAUUACUAGCAUUCGGGAUCGACAUUGCCACAAUAGGAGCCACAAGAGCGCCCACUCAUCCAACUUCUGAUGUAACGCAACCCGAUCCUGCACAUACAAAAACAAGAGCCAAUAUCAGUCAAGAGAUGAUGUAACUCAUGAAGGACCAAAUUGCAUUUGAGGAAAGUCACACCCUGAUAGAAUACUUGAGGAAAAAUCCUGGCCCAAGCAUACUCCACGAGUGGGCCACAAGAGUUCUACACAACUCCUACACCUCAACAACGAUGCUUGGGGGAGGUUACUUCAAAAUAUAAUUUAUGAGCAAACAAGGAAAACUACACAUGCUAUCUAAACCAUAUCAAUUCAACAACGAAGAUAUAUUAUUUUCCACCUGGAGAGCCGACUUCGACCUGGAAUCGGAAACCGACACGCACCAAACCUCCUCCCAAAUCUGGGCACAACUCCGAGGCUUAAGAAGGAUUUUUCGCACAACACAGUUUCUCACAGAAGCCUUUUCCACUAUCGAAGAAGUCAUAGCCGUUGACUCCACCAAAUCUUACCAAAACAAAGCUUCUGGUUCUAAGGUUCAGUUACCAGUCUAGGAUGUAGUCAACCUCCCACAUACUUCAGUUCUUCCCAAGAGGUGAACAUGAAUACCGAAUUGACUACAGUGUACUAUCCUCCUAGUGCAAUAGAUGUAGAAGUACUACACACCACGCUAAACACUGUACACUACCGUGGAGAGAAGAGCGCAAGAGAUCCAGAUAGAAAACCCCAACCUUGGAAAACUCGGUAACCGACAACCUCACCCAACACAGACAGACCAAUGGUGAAGAGAAAACAUUGAAAAAUGUAGGACCUAGGAAGAAGAACAGUGCAACUCUUCUACGCACCAAAUACAUCUGGGUAGAAAAGAAACCAACAAAAUCCACAGACACACAUGAAGGACCAGAAAAACCAUCUGAAUCAAUCAUAUACAACUCACCACAUACAAUUGAGCUUUUGGAGAGCUCUGGGAUCAGAACCGCCUUGCAAAGGAACAACUUAUGAGCAAAUUACAGUAGCUUUAGUUUGGUCAUCUCAAAACAACUUCCUUGAAACCCUGGUUUGCAAAGCUAGCGACACUCUGCUGUGCACAACACAACUGACUCACGUCCCAAAGGAGAAGGAUUGGUCAUCAUCAAUCGCUCAAACGCAUAUGGUUAACACCACAAUGCAAAAGCUCCAAACACAGAUAACCAAUAGAGGAAAUGGCCCCAACUUGCUCCGCACCUAGUCAGACGCAAUAUGGGUUUCAGAAUAGCUCAACUAAAAAUCUACUCACACAAACAAUUGGAUUACUAUCUUGCCAUACGACAAAAGCACCACAGCGAUCAAACAUCAAUAAACAAAGCACUGGAAGCAGAUACCAUCAUCAACAUCCCCCCCACAAGCUCUCAUACUAGAAAGGGUAAAGGAGAUAUCAUAUGGCCAAUGGUGUCAGACAAUCAUCCAUCUCCAAGAUUAACACACCCAGGAUGUGAACUCCUCUCCUCUAACUCACUUUGAGCAGAAACUCGGAGAGAACAACACAUCUAUUAUACAUGAAUGAUGGCCUAACAAUGGCCACAUACAACAUCCAGUGCUUAGGCGAAGGACUGGAUGGCGUCAGAAAAUGCUGUAAGCUUCGAAACUUAAUGCAAAAGACCUAUCUCAAACCCAACCUUAUAUUAUUACAAGAACAUCAAUUCAACCAUACUAACUGUACCAAACAAGCUACACAACUAGAUUUUCUACAAGGUACAAUGCUUUGGAACACCGUAGUGUACUCAGCACAAAAAGUGGCUUAGUUGGUGGAACAGCUAUUUUGGUAUCCAACAAACUCACCGAUAACCUAAAAGAACAUGGAGUGAUAGUCUGAGGAAGAGCGCAACGCUCCAUUUUCAAAAUCAGCCCCACAGUUCAAAUAGGCAUUCUAAAUGUCUAUGGUUACAGCCACACAGAACCCCGUGCAAGACUAUGGCAGAAAAUAGCAGACCACCCUUUACCAGAAGCCCUCUGGAUCAUGGGGGGCGAUUCUAAUUUUAUUGAGUCCCUCGAAGACAAGCAGGGUGGGAAUGCCAAUUUAAGACAAGGAACACAAGAAAUGACAGCAUGGAAUAACAUGCUCAUUAAACUAUAAGUUCAAGACAGUUUCCACAUGGGAGAAUUCUGCAAGAUUACCAAUAAACGCUUCACCUGGGAUAACAGAAGCCCAGCCCCGAAGACAGUACUCACCAAGCUAGAUAGAAUAUACAUUGGAGACAAACUCCAAGACUGAGGUGGACUAUGUGGAAUCUGGACAGCACAACCAAUCAUUUCGUAUUACACCCCUGCUUUCAUAAGAUUGAAACCUGCAUGCCGACCUCUACCCUAGAUGCAGUUCUUUGACAAACGACAACUAGAAUCAGUUGAAGGCAGACAACAUGUCACAGGAGCUUGAAAACAGGCCAUAUAAAACACUACAUAAACCAAAUGGAGCGAUAAAAUUGGCCUUACAAGCAGUAUGCAACACGAACCUAAAUAUUGCAAAAAAGAACAGACAGACUUGGAAAAAAUAGUACAAGAAUCAACUAAACCAGACACUCAAUGCCAAACUCCUCGUUCAAGAUAACUGAAAUGACCCAACGACGAGGGACACACUCAACACAACACAGCUAUAAUUACAAAAAAAUUGAUACAACAGGCUAGAAAAACAAUUCACAUUCCUUACAGUCAAAUGGACAAGAGUGAGAGACCGUUGCAACUCUGAGUUCUUUCAACACUACAGAGCUCGUCACUGCAAAGUCCGCAUCAAAGAAUCCAAUGAUAAGGACCGCAUUCAAAAGUUCCAGAAGCACAUGGCGCUUUAUGCACAAAGAUAUUACCAACAACUCUACACCCCAAACUCCACCGUUGAAUGCAAUGUAGACUCCGAAAGAGACACCUUAGCAAGCACUCCUAUAGUAGUCACAGAGGAUCACAACCGAGAGUUAGAACGCCCUAUAACUGCUGAAGAGAUUACAGCGGCAACGAAGAGUCUUCCUAGAAGCAAAGCCCCCAGACUGGACAAGGUACCGACCGAAUUUUUCCAAGAAUGUUGGAGGGAAAUUGGCCCCGACAUGGUGGAACUCAUCAAAGAGGUUCUCUCACAAGAAACAUUGCCCAAUAAAUUCAACACCAGCAAUGUAGUACUCAUCCCAAAAUCAGGUGACCUCUCUCUGAUCACAAACUACCACCUAAUUUCUAUUCUAAGCACAAUAUACAAAAUCAUAGCAAAAGCAUUGGCUAACAGACUAGUUCCUCACCUACCAAGAUGGAUUCAAAAAUCUUAAACAGGAUUUACUAGAGGAAGAUGUAUAUUUGAUAACGUCUUCCUAGCCACAGAAGCCAUGUCUUGGGCAGAAGAGAGCAAUCAGGACCUAGCCCUAAUACUUUGACAUUGAAAAAGCAAAUGAUCGCAUCGGUUGGAUUUUUUCGCAAGAUGCGAUGACACAAUUAGGUUUCUCCAACGAAUGGAUCACGUGGACAAUGGCUCUCAACAAUGAAGCUGAGGCAGUAAUAACCAUCAACGGAGAGCAAGGACAAUCCUUCAAGCUAGAGAGGUCAAUUCGCCAGAGGUGCCUCUUGGCACCCUACCUAUUUCUAUUUGCUGCCACCUUACUAGAAUAUGUGCUAGACGAUCCCAAGCACAACAUAGAAGGGCUCAUCCUAUCCAACCAAACCAGUCACACUAACUCUAUGUUUGCCGACGACACCUCACUAUUCCUCAAAAGAGAACCAAACAACAUGCAACAAACACUGAGAGUGUUAGACACGUACUAUGAAGCCUUCAGAGCUAAGAUUAACUGGCAUAAAACUCCGACAAUCUGGGUCUCCCAAAAAACACGAACCUUUAAUUGGAGAAAUGUGCAUGGUCUAACAUAGGUACGAACAGGAAUCCCAGUGCGCUACCUAGGCUUUCCAAUCGGAUUCCACAUGCCUCCAAAAGAGAACGGAGCCAAAAUCCUACAGCAAAUCAUAAGACAACUUAUCAAAUGGGGGCCCAAACAAUUAUCUUUAGCAGGCGAGAUAAUGAUCCUCAACUAAGUGGUCCUGGAUUCAAUAUGGUUCCUAGUUUCAUGCGCCAAUGUAGAAAAUAAAAUCUUCAAACAAAUGUGAUCUUUGGUAAGGAACUACCUAUUGUCCGGGAUCACCACAUGAACCACAAGAGCCAAGGUACAAUAGAAUACCAUCAUCCAAAUACUAACUCACGGAGGUCUAAAGGUCCUAGAACUUGAACUCCAAGCCAGAGCCCUCAUCGCAAAGCUGAUCACCUGUGGCAUGGCACCCGGAGUAGAACCAUAAAAAAUCCUACUUGGGCACUGGAUAACAGAAAUCCAAUACAGCAAGGGAGGAGAUUGGUACCAUAGCCCGCACUAGAUUACGGGAAACAAAAUAAAACUCAAACCCCAAGGCUCACCGUUGUGGCUCAAUGUGAGGUCAGUAUGUCAAGAAAUUCAACCUGGUCUGCAACAACAACCACCACAAUUUCUAGACAAACUGAUGUGCCAGCCUCUCUUCAACAACACACUGAUAAGAGACUCAAACGGAACGAUAUGGGGCCAAAACCUCCAGGACAAGUUCAAUCUAUGAACGAGAAAGGGAGUGCGGACUUGCGGGGACCUUUAGAACGCCACUUCAGAGGAUUGGCAUAUCGAGUCAACCCUGCAACACCGCACAGAAAGCCGCUUAAUUAAAGUUUAGAAAACCACAAUGCUCACAAACAUUCCAUGGCACUCGGGAAACAGACAACCUUACAUAGCCAUAGAGUGGUGGGCAAUUGAUACACAGGGAACCAUAGUCAAGAUAUUCUAUACCCUGAAUAUUGCUGAAGGCACUUUACGAGGAGAUAAAUACAUAAUCUCGGACUUAACCCUCGUUUCUUUCAAGCCUCUACACAUUGGUCACAACGAAGUCCAACAUGUGAGAGUUAUAGCCUACAAAAGAAGAUUUCAUAGAAUUCAACCCUAGAGAAUAACCCGACCCCUCUAUUAUACUCUAGCUUGCCGCGGAUAAACCAAUUCAACAACUUACACUCGAUCCGGCAGAAUGGAUUUGAAAAUGGCAAGGAGACCUAUCCCACACACUAUUCUAUAAUUACACAUCCAAGCGCUGCUAUCGGCAACAGAGCAAAGUCAUCGCUGCAGCACCGAAAAGAGAAGCGGCUUCUAAAUCCAAAAACUACGAAAACCAGGAAUGUCAAUAAUUUUACAAACAAUCAUGGCAUCCAUGGCUCCCCAAGAAAGUUGCGGCAAUGAAGUAGCUAGUAUACGCUGGGGGCAUAUCGGUAGGCGCAUGGCAAAAAGUCAUGAAAUGAGAUGGUUGAUGCAUCCUUUGCAACAACACAACAAUCAAAACCAUCUUCCAUGCAUUCUGGGAUUGUCCACACAUCAGCACAGCUUGGGACAGAUACAACAUACUUCGGGUGAUGACCUGUCUCAACCCACUCACAAGUUGGCAAGAAAUAUUACAUGGCUCAACCAACCUCGCACACAACAACAUCGUCGAUCCAACAAACGCCAUCAAUGUUAUACCAAACACCUCCUAGAUGCUAUUGCGUACUCUUAUUCUAUUGAACAUCUGGUGUAACAAAUGCUUGUUUAAUCGAGAACAAGCACCUUACCACACGGAUCUCGUCCUAUACAAGGCCUGGAAAAUAACUAUCUACAUAAAGAUGGAGGCUUGGCGCAACCUACAGCGACAUCAUCGAACACCUGAGCUGCAACAUUCAAAAAAUAGAGCCUUCACCAAGAUAUGGACAGCCAAUAAUAUUUUCGCCACAACAAGAAGUAAAGAACCUACCUGGCAUCUAAUCUCCCCUCCCCAACUCCUCCCAAAAACUUUAGCACAAUACUUGGGAGCAGAUCAACCUCGAUCUCGACCUUCUCGACUGACAACCGCCCCAGUGACACAACCGUCGACCUCCCAAAGAAUAGCUCCCGAGUAAGAGCAAGAAGAUAGUCCUCCACUCAGCGACACGGCAGUACAACAAGGCAUACAACAACUCUUUGCGGAAAUUGAACACGAAAGUGUAAGCAGACAUAUCGAUCAAAGCAUCAGGCAUUAGAAAACUCGUCU